GUCCCUAUAGCUCAGAUGGAUAGAGCACAGGUUUCCUAAACCUGGUGUCGGCUGUUCGAAUCAGCCUAGGGACGCCA
rnacentral:tRNA from 1 species